rnacentral:rRNA from 1 species
AUUGAACGCUGGCGGCAUGCCUUACACAUGCAAGUCGAACGGCAGCACGGGAGCAAUCCUGGUGGCGAGUGGCGAACGGGUGAGUAAUAUAUCGGAACGUGCCCAGUCGUGGGGGAUAACGCAGCGGACGCUGUGCUAAUACCGCAUACGAUCUACGGAUGAAAGCGGAGGAUCGCAAGACCUCGCGCGAUUGGAGCGGCCGAUAUCAGAUUAGCUAGUUGGUGGGGUAAAAGCCCACCAAGGCGACGAUCUAUAGCUGGUCUGAGAGGACGACCAGCCACACUGGAACUGAGACACGGUCCAGACUCCUACGGGAGGCAGCAGUGGGGAAUUUUGGACAAUGGGCGCAAGCCUGAUCCAGCAAUGCCGCGUGCAGGAUGAAGGCCUUCGGGUUGUAAACUGCUUUUGUACGGAACGAAACGGCUCUUUCUAAUAAAGAGGGCUAAUGACGGUACCGUAAGAAUAAGCACCGGCUAACUACGUGCCAGCCGCCGCCGUAA